rnacentral:rRNA from 1 species
GACGAACGCUGGCGGCGUGCUUAACACAUGCAAGUCGAACGGAAAGGCCCUGCUUUUGUGGUGUGCUCGAGUGGCGAACGGGUGAGUAACACGUGAGUAACCUGCCCUUGACUUUGGGAUAGCUUCAGGAAACUGGGGCUAAUACCGGAUAGGAGCUCCUGCUGCAUGGUGGGGGUUGGAAAGUUUCGGCGGUUGGGGAUGGACUCGCGGCUUAUCAGCUUGUUGGUGGGGUAGUGGCUUACCCAGGCUUUUACGGGUAGCCGGCCUGAGAGGGUGACCGGCUACAUAGGGACUGAGAGACGGCCCAGACUCCUAUGAGAGGCAGCAGGGGGGAAGAUGGCAGAAUGGGCGGAAGCCUGAUGCAGGAACGCCGCGUGCGGGAUGACGGCCUGCGGGUUGGAAACCGCUUUCGGCUGUGACGAAGCGUGAGUGACGGUAAUGGGUAAAGAAGCACCGGCUAACUACGUG